CUUUGGUUAAAUUUGCUGUUAAGAAGUGGCCACAUACUACUUCAUAUGGUCAACGGAGAAUCAACAAAAUCAGUCAGGGAAUGAUGGUUUCCAGUGAGGUCUGUGCUGCUAUAGAGACGCUCUUACCCGUACCUGAGCUACCCAGUUAAAACAUUUGUGUCUGCAUCAAGUACACCCACACUUCUGGCCUCUGUUUAGACACGGAGCUAUCUCUCAAGUUAACUCAUUCUGGUUGGAGCAAGGCAUUUGGUAGUUUUCACCUAAAUCAACUGCUUGGAUUUAGAACUGUGUGGGUGCCUAAUUUUAACACAGUAUGUUAACUACUGCAAAAAUGUCCUCAUGGGAUUCUAGUUGGAGGCAGUCUGGGUUUUUCCCAGUUCCUAGUGUAUAUAAGUGAGGAUCAAGCCGGACAAAAAGAGGACAGGAUAAAUGGUGAGCUCUUAAUUCUGACUUCCGCCCUAUUGCGGUUGCUGGUGCAUCAGAAAGGCUCAUCCCUUGGUGUCUGACAGAAGGCACGCUGCCGGCUCUUUGUGCACCUCCUCACUGGCGGAGCAUGAGACACAAGGAAGUCCUUGAUUUAGGAUAAACAUGACUUAGCAACAACGAAGAAGUGAGUAUGUAAUCCACAUUAUUCUCAUACUGAAUCCUAAAGACAGCACUGCACCAGGUGCUGAGAAGAAAUUAACUCUAUUCCAGCCAAAACGCUGAUGUUUAUUCAGAGCAGGAUAUCUUCCAGCUGCACACCUCUAGUGAAAAUAGUGACAUAAUUAUCCUGUUUGACUGAAGGAAAACCCUGUCCUCAGCUGAAAAUAUACCAGUACAGUGUGUA